AGCGCUGUUCACCGGAGCUCGCAGCUCCCUUGCCUCACUUGUGGUCCUCCCUGCUCCUAGUAGCAGAGAUUAAAGAAGAUAAAGGAUAUUACAAGCCUCCCCCGGCUAUCAUGGUUGGUAAGCAGGAAUUCAGGUAUGGAAGAACAGUUGUGGAUCACUGAUAGACUGCAUUAUGGAAUUAUGUAUGAUUCUAUGAGGUUUUAGGAUAUUUUGUAUGAUGGAUAAACAAGUAUUAUUAUACGAUGAGUAUUUGUAUAGUGAAUUUCCAAUUUCAGGCUAUUACUUUAUUUGUGGGCCAUAACCCACAGGAUUAAGUUAUGCUUCCGCUGACGAUUAAGGUCAUGUAAAUUUGUCGGGGCGUUACAGAGUGGUAUCAGAGCCGAAACCUAGCCGGAAGUGCGGAGUAUUAGACUUUGCACCGCCUAGGAGUGGUCCUUUGGGAAAUUAGAUAUUAAGGAAAACUCGAGGUUAGUAAAUGACCAUUUGGGUUGAUAUAAGAUGAGAUAUAAGACAAUGGAUGAAAAAUUUGAGGUUUACUUCCAUGAAUGAGUUAUUAGGAGUUGAGGAUUAUUUGGGUUAUUAGAAUCUUAAAGAAGUGAGGAUUUGAACUUAAUUAUGAUCCUUUGAAGUAUUAUUGGAAAAUUAGAAUAACGUAAAGCUUUGGGGUUACUAGAGUGUAAGAUCUUAAAUGGAAAAUUUUACGAUUUAAACUUGGCAUGAAUUUUCUGCAAAGAUUGAUGUUGGAUAACUUGAGGAUAAAAUGAUGGUUAUAUGAGUUAUAGGGACUAAGGUGAACGAUCUCUUGAGGUAUGAGUAGUAAUAUUUGAUGCUCGAGGUAAUACACGAAAUGAUAUUUAGAUAUGUUAUGAUGAGUAGGGUUAUUUGUGGGAUGAUAAAAAAAAAAAAAAGGUUAAGCGAUAUGAAAUCCUGAUGGUUAUAAGUUAAGAUUGAAUUUUUACUUUAUAGGAGCUCAUAUGACGAUUUUGGAGAUUCAAAAAUUUUGAAGGGAUUUAGAAAUUCUACUUGAGGAAUUAGAAAACAAUUACCAUUACUUUAGUUAUUAAGGAUUUUAGUUUUAAUGGUUGAAGCACUUCAUAAUGUGAUGCGAACCACUUAUUGGGAUGUUAUGGGAUUGUAGUGAAAAAUAAAUUAUGACUAAGUAUUGAAGAGUUAGACGAAUCGAUGUCUUGAAGGAAUAGGAAUUUGUUACUUGGAGAUAUAAUAGCCAUAUGGAAUAAGCGUUGAUGACGAGACAAAAAUCAAUGUGCAAAAGUGCUUGACUUUUCUGUUUAAUCAAGAUUUGGGACAAAGAAUUUCUAAGUUUGAAAUGUUGUUAGAUAAAUGGUUUCUUCGUGUAUGGUAUUGAGAUGAUCUAGGAAUGAAUUCAAGUGAUCGAAUUACCAAUAAAAGAGGAUAAUGGAAAAAUGUGGAGGAAAUUGAAAUUGUGAUGAGAAGUAAAUAUUAUUUGGAUCGGUGAAGCCUUGAAUAAUUAAGAUCUUGAGUAUUGAUGUUAGCUAGGUAAGGAAGUUGGUAAGGAGUACAUUAUGACAUUGUCAGAUUAGUAAGUGCUUAACGUUGAGGCUAUA